CAAUAGCGUAUAUUAAAGUUGUUGCAGUUAAAAAGCUCGUAGUUGGAUUUGUGGCGUACGGUGUGUUCCGGGCACUUGUUGUCUGAGUAACCUGCUGUUGCCAUCCUUGGGUGGAACCUGUGUGGCAUUAGGUUGUCGUGCAGGGGAUGCCCAUCAUUUACUGUGAAAAAAUUAGAGUGUUCAAAGCAGGCUUAUGCCGUUGAAUAUAUUAGCAUGGAAUAAUGAGAUAGGACUUUUUUGCUAUUUUGUUGGUUUGCGCAAGAAGGUAAUGAUUAAUAGGGACAGUUGGGGGUACUCGUAUUCCAUUGUCAGAGGUGAAAUUCUUGGAUUUUUGGAAGACGAACUACUGCGAAAGCAUUUACCAAGGAUGUUUUCAUUAA
rnacentral:rRNA from 1 species